UGGGGAAUUUUGGACAAUGGGCGAAAGCCUGAUCCAGCCAUGCCGCAUGAGUGAAGAAGGCCUUUGGGUUGUAAAGCUCUUUUAGUGAGGAAGAUAAUGACGGUACUCACAGAAGAAGUCCUGGCUAACUCCGUGCCAGCAGCCGCGGUAAUACGGAGAGGGCUAGCGUUAUUCGGAAUUAUUGGGCGUAAAGGGCGCGUAGGCUGGUUAAUAAGUUAAAAGUGAAAUCCCGAGGCUUAACCUUGGAAUUGCUUUUAAAACUAUUAAUCUAGAGAUUGAAAGAGGAUAGAGGAAUUCCUGAUGUAGAGGUAAAAUUCGUAAAUAUUAGGAGGAACACCAGUGGCGAAGGCGUCUAUCUGGUUCAAAUCUGACGCUGAAGCGCGAAGGCGUGGGGAGCAAACA
rnacentral:rRNA from 1 species